CCCUCUCUUGCCUCCUUGCCUUUUAUGCAUGGUAUUUAGAAGUGGGGGACGGUGAUUAGAUGCUAAGUUACCAUGUCAUUAAACUCGUUCUACAAGCUGAAACUGGACUUUAACCUUUAGGACGGUUUUAAACUUGUUAAUAUCUCUUCCUGGAUCCUCAUUUGAUAUUCUUAUUCCAUUGGGUGUUUACUGUUUUUUCUAUCAAACAUUCAAGAAUAAAGCUGAAGCUAUUUCUCUUUACCGCAGGAAGAAAGAAGAUAUGGGAUGGAUUUAUUUGCAUGUUAUCAUCAUUAAUCGUGGUUGAUUUGUCUGGAUUUCAAGAAAACAGUGACAGUAUUUGGAAUGGAAGAUUAUAUAUACACGAGAACAACGAAGUCGAGCGUGUUUUAAUUAUUACCUACAAUUGAUUUUCCAUUAAUUAGUGAUGAUUACGAGUUUGCCGACCUUUAAACUCUAGAAUAAUGAGUUGCUUGAGAAACAACGUUGAUGUCUCAAUUAUGUCAAUAAAUGGAACUACUGGCUUCUGGUAAAAAGAAAUGACGUUAGCUGAGACAGAAUCAACAGGUUAGGGAUUUUUUUUAAACGAACGACCUUCCCUUAGCUUUCUCACGUGCUUGAUGAUCCUCUUCCUCCCACCAUAUCCAGACACAAGUUUACAUUAAGGACUUUGAAAUUCCAAAAAUUUAAUUUAUUGGCCCCUCAAGUAAAAAUUGAAUCCAUAUUGACAAGGCUGGUUGCUCUGGGAUAUAGCUGACUGUUGGUUGCUGCUGAAAUUUAUGGUUGCUUGAUGGAGGUGGUGGGAGGUGGUGGUGGUGCUGCUAUUAACAAUAUCUUGCGUAUAAACCAUUAUAUUUAUUGUGUAUAAACCAUUAUAUAUAUUGUGUAUAAACCAUUGUAAUUUUUUAAAUUUUUUAUAAUAAUAUCAACAUUUAUAAAUGAAAAUAUCCAAUAUUAUGCAUGUGCAAAUGUUUGUAUCAAGUUAAGGUAAAAAAGGCAGGAAAAAAAAGAAAUAUGUAAUAUAGGCGCCUGUUCCUCUGCAAACCAGUGCCAAAGUGACAAAUAAAAAAAAAACAUAAUUCUUGACGCUUUAUUGUGUAGAAACUUGAGGUUAAAAUUAAAUUUUUCAAAAGAAAGAGUAGACGCAAAAAAGCGUCGAGAA